rnacentral:rRNA from 1 species
UACAUGGGGUGCAAACGUUGCUCGGAAUUAUUGGGCGUAAAGCGCACGUAGGCGGUUCGUUAAGUCGGAUGUGAAAGCCCUCGGCUCAACUGAGGAAGUGCACCCGAAACUGGCGAGCUUGAGUACGAAAGAGGAUCGCGGAAUUCCCGGUGUAGAGGUGAAAUUCGUAGAUAUCGGGAGGAACACCGGUGGCGAAGGCGGCGAUCUGGGUCGAUACUGACGCUGAGGUGCGAAAGCGUGGGAGCAAACAGG